rnacentral:rRNA from 1 species
CAGCAGCCGCGGUAAUACGGAGGGUGCAAGCGUUAAUCGGAAUUACUGGGCGUAAAGCGUGCGUAGGUGGUGGUUUAAGUCCGUUGUGAAAGCCCUGGGCUCAACCUGGGAAUUGCAGUGGAUACUGGGUCACUAGAGUGUGGUAGAGGAUAGUGGAAUUUCCGGUGUAGCAGUGAAAUGCGUAGAGAUCGGAAGGAACAUCUGUGGCGAAGGCGACUAUCUGGGCCAACACUGACACUGAGGCACGAAAGCGUGGGGAGCAAACAGGAUUAGAUACCCGAGUAGUCCCUGUCUCUUAUAA